UACGUAGGGGGCAAGCGUUGUCCGGAAUCAUUGGGCGUAAAGAGCGUGUAGGCGGCCCGAUAAGUCCGCUGUGAAAGUCCAGGGCUCAACCCUGGGAUGCCGGUGGAUACUGUCGGGCUCGAGUCCGGAAGGGGAGUGUGGAAUUCCUGGUGUAGCGGUGAAAUGCGCAGAUAUCAGGAGGAACACCAAUGGCGAAGGCAGCACUCUGGGACGUGACUGACGCUGAGACGCGAAAGCGUGGGGAGCAAACAGG
rnacentral:rRNA from 1 species